UGCUGUUAUUUCAAGUGACAAGACUUUUCGACGAGGAAUGAGGUCGAGAAACAUAUCUACAGACCAGAAUAUGACAGAGGCUUUAUCAUAUCAGUCAUGUGGUCCUUCUGAAAAGUUACAACCACUUACACAUAACACACUAGCAGAUGACGUUACACAGCUGGAACUGGAGCAAAAAUAUUGAGCUGUCAACAUUUCUCUGAUCGUUACAAUUAUCAUUCGAUACAUAAGAUGCAGCGAUUAUUCCCUUCUAACAGAGCAAGCCACAACGAGCUUGUUUUUUUCACAAGCAUGCAGAGAAAGGCCUACCAAAAGAACCGGGUUGUUGCACCCAUUCAUUGCUAAUGUGUUCCUUGAUGGCCAGGAUAUUGAGUCAUGCCACACUGCCAGAAUCAUCAAGUUGUGCUUUUGCUAUUUUACUUGGAAAAGGUGGUUUGCCCUACAUCACCACCAUCCUGCAAUGUACAGGAACUGGAGGACUGGUUGUUGACAAUAUGAUACCAGAUAUACCAGGAGAGCAAUCUCCUCGUCAUUGAAUAAAUGCCUUGUAACAUGGCUGCUGUUCUGCAGGCUAGAGGAGGUCCUACAGGUUAUUAGGGUUAUGAUUGGGUUGACAUGUUUGUCACACCCACCAAACAUGAGAAAACAUAUCUCAAACUGCGUUGCAGAGGUUGCAAACCAUUUUCAGGAAACAUGUCGUUCUACCAGGAAAUUGUUGUUCACCGGUUUGAGCUUGAACUUGCCCUAGAUAAACAUAUGCUGUCCUACGGCAGAUGCAGCAAAUCACGACUGCAACUAUAAUUAACAGAGAUCCAGCAACCGCAACAGAGAUCACCACUAUCAGAGAUGACGAGUCUGGAAGAACAGAAGGAGAGUGAAGGACAAACAGCCAUGAAGUAAAUCGGAGAGAGUCACAUGACCCACAUUCACCACUGAACACAACAAUGAACAAUUCUGCUGUGAUGAUGAUGAUGAUGAUGAACAGUGUGAAGAGUUACUGAUGAUGACAGGAACAGGAAGACGAGCUGAAAAACAGAAUAAAAAGGAAUACUGAUAAAUUGCAGAACUAU